UGGCAAACUCGAUCACUGGCUCUGCAUUUUGUGGCAGAAGCAAGGGGAACAGGUUUGCUAAAGUAAAUGUGGUAACAGAACCUUAUUUGCCUUAGAAGCAAUAACACUAAGGCUGUUCAUUCUGUACCAUAACAAAA